CAGAGAAAUAAAAAAUAAUUCUUUGUUUUCUAUGUUUCAAAGAUAGAUGCCCUUGGAGAAAUAGGAAAGCUGGACAACAGGACAGCCAGGAGAGAAAGAACCCCUUCCCGGGCUAUAGUAAGAAUUAUCCCCAGGACUUGUGGAGGAUAAAGGCAGGAAAUAGGGAGUGCAUGCCCGUGCUGAGCGGAUGAGGCGACAGGAAAGAGAUGUGGCAGGUCUCCGAUGAUGAGUCUGUGCCUUGCUUCUGGCUCUGGUCCCACAGAAGCAACAAAACUCACCAGAGGACUGGCGGGACUUGUUGGUUGAAGGGACCUAUCCCGGCACUACACAGGGUCCCGAGAAGGAUGCAGGACCCUGGAGAUCAGCAGAUCCAGUGGGCGUCUCUGCAGACAGAACUGUGGGGCCUUGGCACCGCCUGGCCAGGCAUCCGCCACCUAGGAAGGAGUGAGAACUGUAUGCUGAGCACUUCCACAGGCCCAGAACAUUCAGCUGAGUUACAGAAAAGUACGAGACAUGUCUCUGGAUUUAGGUCAAGAGUCAUAACCUGCCAUACGCCAAUUAGGAAGUUUUAGUCUGUUUUGUGUGAGUGCUAAGUGCGCACCAUGACUCAUAGCAAAGAAACCAGGGCAUGCUGAGUUCAGAUACGCCAUCGGGAUCCCCAGGCCAUCACGGGAUAACCAGUGCAUGCCUAACUCAAACUCUCCUCCAUUCUGAUGGCCACCAGAGCAGCCGUCCUCAGCCCUUCUAACGCCUCAACCCCCUAGUACUCUUCCUCAUGUUGUGGUGACUCCACCCAAAAGGUAUCAAUACAAAUCCAUCUCUCCCAGAAGUCCCCCUUUAAAAGAAACAGCUGCCUCACUCAUCUGAACUUCAACUUCUGGUCAUCCUGGCUCUUCACAGUCUCUACUUGAUUACUCCCACGGCCAAUGACUUAAUUGACCAAUAGGAGAUGUUUCCCUUGGUUAGUUCCAC
rnacentral:lncRNA from 1 species